rnacentral:tRNA from 1 species
GCGGUUGUAGCUCAGUCGGACAGAGCGUCUGCCUCCGGAGCAGAAGGCCGCAGGUUCGAAUCCUGCCAGCCGCA